CAGUAGCCGCGGGAAUACGUAGGGUGCAAGCGUUGUCCGGAAUUAUUGGGCGUAAAGAGCUCGUAGGCGGUUUGUCGCGUCUGCUGUGAAAUCCCGAGGCUCAACCUCGGGCUUGCAGUGGGUACGGGCAGACUAGAGUGCGGUAGGGGAGAUUGGAAUUCCUGGUGUAGCGGUGGAAUGCGCAGAUAUCAGGAGGAACACCGAUGGCGAAGGCAGAUCUCUGGGCCGUAACUGACGCUGAGGAGCGAAAGCGUGGGGAGCGAACAGGAUUAGAUACCCCUGUAGUCCCUGUCUCUUAUAC
rnacentral:rRNA from 1 species